UAAUGAAAGAAAGAGGAAAGAAAGAAAGAAAAAUCAUACAGUGACAAGUACAAUUUUUUAAACCACAAAACGUCUGAAGUUUUUUAUAUAUAAUUUAACGAAAUGUUAACGGAGGAGCUGACGAAAAGAGAAAAAAAAAAAAACCACAGUGUGCUAAACUGAUACACUUUAAAUUAAUCACAUAAUAUUAAAGUGAGAAAGUACGAAACCAAAAGGGUGGUAUUUGAAGUUUGCCCUUAAAUUUACUUACAAGAGAAACAAAUGUUGUAGU
rnacentral:lncRNA from 1 species